rnacentral:rRNA from 1 species
AAUUGCGAAGGCAGCUUANUAGGCUACAACUGACGCUGAAGCACGAAAGCGUGGGGAUCAAACAGGAUUAGAUACCCUGGUAGUCCACGCAGUAAACGAUGAUAACUAGCUGUUUGCGAUACACAGUAAGCGGCACAGCGAAAGCGUUAAGUUAUCCACCUGGGGAGUACGCCGGCAACGGUGAAACUCAAAGGAAUUGACGGGGGCCCGCACAAGCGGAGGAACAUGUGGUUUAAUUCGAUGAUACGCGAGGAACCUUACCCGGGCUUGAACGUAGGGAGACAGUUCUGGAAACAGAAUCUCUAGCAAUAGCUGCCUACGAGGUGCUGCAUGGUUGUCGUCAGCUCGUGCCGUGAGGUGUCGGCUUAAGUGCCAUAACGAGCGCAACCCACAUCGAUAGUUACUAACAGGUUAAGCUGAGGACUCUAUCGAGACUGCCGACGUAAGUCGUGAGGAAGGUGGGGAUGACGUCAAAUCAGCACGGCCCUUACGUCCAGGGCUACACACGUGUUACAAUGGGGGGUACAAAGGGCAGCUACCUGGCGACAGGAUGCUAAUCUCAAAAACCUCUCUCAGUUCGGAUUGGAGUCUGCAACCCGACUCCAUGAAGCUGGAUUCGCUAGUAAUCGCGCAUCAGCCACGGCGCGGUGAAUACGUUCCCGGGCCUUGUACACACCGCCCGUCAAGCCAUGGGAGCCGGGGGGACCUGAAGUAUGCAACCGUAAGGAGCGUCCUAGGGUAAAACUGGUGACUGGGGCU